CACCUUCAAUCAGAAAACUCUUCCCAUCCACAUACAAAGUACACAAACACAUAAAAAAUGAGAAAAACCACCAAACCCUCAACAACAGUGGGAAUUUCUCAGACGCCUUAAAUUUGCAAUGAAGAGCUGAAAAGCUCAACACAAACCAAGCUAAACCUUGCGCAGCAGGGAAAGCAAUUAUAGACCAAUCCACAACUUUCCCAUUGACAGCCUCUCUAAUCAAAGCAACACCAUCAAACNCAAAGAAACCCCAUCAAACCCCAACACUAAAAAUUGCAAAAACAAAACAUAGAAACAACAAAAUAGGACCAACUUAAACCCGGUACCGAUCGUAACAACUCGAAUAUCUCCAUCAACAGUACUUCGUCUAAUUGGGCUUGAACUGGCAACUGCUGUAUCAUCCUUAAGCAAUCUAAUUCUACCAACACACACAAAUAUUUGCCUUGCAGAUAUUAUGAAGAGAAAGACAAGGAAAAGCGUCAAAUUGAUGCAAAUUGAGGCUAGCUCCAAUACGGG
rnacentral:misc_RNA from 1 species